ACCGGAAUGGAGCCGGAAAGCAUCAGGAUGAUGCAGCUUCAGGAUGAAGAUAGGGAUGCGCUCAGCGAAGAGCGAUGGAGGGCGUCAGGAGAUGCUUAGGAUGUUUCAGGAUUGAAAUCAAGGACACCUCCAGGACGGAGACUGAGAGCUGACAAAGGACUGUCGGUGGGUUAGGAAGACUGAGGAACCGCAUUAGGAUGAUGCUAUAGGAAAACGCAAGGAUCACUCGGCCAGGAUGAGCCACAGGAAAAGUUUUCAGGGAUUGAGCAGGGAGCACACUGUGUAGCGGGAUAGCUAUAAAACGAACCGGGGGCACGGGUAACGCGGUGCCCCCAACUUUUUGC
rnacentral:other from 1 species